CAGCUUUUGAGAUCGACGUCGACGACGACGACGACGUUUAUUCAAGAAUUGCCGGAGGUGAGGUGCAGUUUUUUUGCGAGUGGACUACUCCACGACCGGUGAGCAGUUCUGAAGUUAAAUGCCAACUAAGUGGCUGGAAGCACACACUCUGCGACCAAAGUUCCCGGGACCCUUUAGGGAAGCCCUGAAGGAAGGAAGUUGGAGUCCCUGAGAGACAACAAUGAAAAUGAGUCCUAACCUGAUCACUUGUUCCCAUCACUUUUCAAUCCUCCCAGUGCUUUCAUGAGGGAUACAUUCAACGCUACGUUCGUGGUUGGUGGGGUUGUUGUAUGGAGGAGAACCAUUCCAUUUGCCAUGUUACGUCGACUUGUGCAUAGUUUUUGGUAUGUGCACAGAAAGAGAAUCGCAGGCAUCCACCAAAAUCCCAGAGUUUGUAAAGGGAUGAUGAAGCCAAGCUCUUCCACUUGUGCAAGCAGCUCCUUUCUUUGUUCGUCGUCGGGAAAGGGUAACUUUCCAAAUGUUGUAUACACCAUUGCUGCUUUUUGUCUUUAAACAAAAUGGCGAGCAGUCCCAGUGUUUGAAUUUAAAUCAGAGCGCAGGGAUAAAGGAAAAUAUAAACGGUUUCAACUUCACUCUACAUACAUAUGCAUGUACAUUUGUAUCUACGCAUUUAUUAUGGGGCAUUCUAUACAUGCAUUGGGAAUAAUUGGGGUAGAUUUUUUUUACAGCAUGCGCUCUUAUCUUAAUUUUAACAGAAAUUGUCAAUUAUUGACUAUUGCAUUAAAUCAUCGGAAAAUUUGGACUGUCCAAACUUCAAAAUACUACCAAUUUAUAUGCACAAGUGUACGCGUACAUAUAACGUAUACGAAAAGCCAUCGUGAAACUGUAAAAUAACCUCCAAAAAGUAAAGCAUUCACCAUGAAUCAUAUCAAAUAAGACAAAUCUACUACUAAUCCCCAAACAAAACCCAAA